CACGGAGCUUGCUCUGUGGGAUCAGUGGCGAACGGGUGAGUAACACGUGAGCAACCUGCCCCUGACUCUGGGAUAAGCGCUGGAAACGGCGUCUAAUACUGGAUAUGUGACGUGACCGCAUGGUCUGUGUCUGGAAAGAUUUUUCGGUUGGGGAUGGGCUCGCGGCCUAUCAGCUUGUUGGUGAGGUAAUGGCUCACCAAGGCGUCGACGGGUAGCCGGCCUGAGAGGGUGACCGGCCACACUGGGACUGAGACACGGCCCAGACUCCUACGGGAGGCAGCAGUGGGGAAUAUUGCACAAUGGGCGCAAGCCUGAUGCAGCAACGCCGCGUGAGGGAUGACGGCCUUCGGGUUGUAAACCUCUUUUAGCAGGGAAGAAGCGAAAGUGACGGUACCUGCAGAAAAAGCGCCGGCUAACUACGUGCCAGCAGCCGCGGUAAUACGUAGGGCGCAAGCGUUAUCCGGAAUUAUUGGGCGUAAAGAGCUCGUAGGCGGUUUGUCGCGUCUGCUGUGAAAUCCCGAGGCUCAACCUCGGGCCUGCAGUGGGUACGGGCAGACUAGAGUGCGGUAGGGGAGAUUGGAAUUCCUGGUGUAGCGGUGGAAUGCGCAGAUAUCAGGAGGAACACCGAUGGCGAAGGCAGAUCUCUGGGCCGUAACUGACGCUGAGGAGCGAAAGGGUGGGGAGC
rnacentral:rRNA from 1 species